CAAUAGCCUAUAUGAUCAGCCUGUAAACAUCUGCUGAGAGGAAAUAUCUUUCACAGAAAAGGAUGUUUUACCUGUUGUGUCUCCAGCAGCAGAACUCCAGCUCCUGUCCCUCCCGACAGCCGAGGGCUUGAGUGACUGGCUGGUGGAGCAGAGCAAAAAACCUCUCAGGAAGAGAAAGUGUCAGAUCCUGCGGCCUGGUGGAGAGACAUCAGCAGGGGCCCAGCUUCAGCCUCCUCGGCCCCCAGGAGGUGGUGAUGGCGCUCCUGCCCAAACUGCUGCAGGGCCUCUGGCUCCAUCCACCAAGCCUCUCUUUCAUGCCAUCACUCAGGCUUGGUCAGUUUUCACAGCGGCCAUCUGCCAUGAAUGGCUUUAGUAAAUACACUUUACCAAUAACAUUAAUUAAGCAAACAGGAAAGGAAAGGUUCCACUACACUUACAUGGACCUGAACCUUCAAGGUUAACACCUGUGUUUACCUGCUCAUCAUGUCAAAUGGCUGCUGUGGUCUAUUGUCAAUUAAGGACUUCAUGUCUUUGAUUUUGUGCCAUAAUUGUCAAUUUUUCCAAAUCCUGGACAUGUCAUUUUAAUUCCUUACCAUAUCCACCUGUGCAUUUCAUACCAUCACAGGCUCUUGAAGUUCAUGCAAUAACAAACUGGAAUAUAACAUUUAAAAAAAAAAAAAAAAAAAUACACCCACAGCUUCAUUCAGUAAAAACCUUUACUGGCACAUUAUAGUUGCAAACGUUAUAAGCUACCAUAUUGUAGCAGGUAUCACCCGUUACAUUGUAAAAUCUUGCAAAGAGGGGGCUGAAACUGUCUACCAGGACAAUGCCCUCCCCUUUAAGAUUGCUUUUCUCAUUGCCCUCUGAACCCCGAAC